UGGGGCUCUUAUUUCUUGUUGUGUUGGGCAUUAGCUGGGCCUGUGAUGCUAGACAAUUGCAGACCUCUGAUUUGUCUAGUAAGAGCAUUGGGUUCUCUGAUUUUUCAGGUAAUUCUUUCAACUAAUUCCAAUGGUGUUACUUUAUUUUCUUCUAUAAGAAUUUGUUCUGAAUAUCAUUGCCUAACUUGAUAAUGUUGUCCUACACAGUUCAUAUCCUCUUGUCCGAUGUAUAUGACAUAAAAGUAGUUUUGGCUUUCUUUUAAAAAUUCAGGAUUUUGAUAGGUUGGCACAAUUUUUAAUACCAUUUUGAGACCUGGAGAUGCAAUCCUUGACUUUUUCUUGCGACAUGAGACAAUUAGGGGGAUCGUGCACAUUCUCUGUGCUUCUCCUUAUUCCCCUGUCUUCAUGACCUCUUUUUCUGACUGAAAGAUUGUGGGGUGGGAACCAUAUACGCCAGUACUCAUUUUGGUCCUGGUACAUGGGUGACAGAACAGAUUCUCAAGUAUAGAGGCUAUAUUUCCUGCAUUCUAAGUUGUUUGUUGACCUGUCCAAAUAUUCUACUUCAUAAAGUGCAUGUUAUCAUCAGGAUUGGUUGAAACCCAGCAUAUUACCUUAAACAGUUGUAUGCACAUUUUUUGAAAUGAGAACCGUAUUCCAAAAUGUAUUCAUGCAGAUCUUUGAGCUUAUAAUGUUCCAUUAGGAAUUUAGGACCCUAAUGUGCACUCUUAUAUGGUUGGAGGGGCAAUGCAUUUUUUAAUAUUGUAAUUCAAGCUAAAGCACCUGCUAUGCUGGAAGCCAAAAUAAUAAAAUGUGCUUUCCUGUUUCAGUUGUGCUGAUGAAUUCCCUACCAAAAGAAGGGGAAGCUCUAGCUUUGGAACCAGAUGACGGGAAUGAAAAUGUAUGCACCAUGUGCGAGAGGCUUAUUACUGAGGCGCUUGAUCUCCUUGCUGAAAACAGGACCCAGAAAUUGAUCAUUGAAAUGCUUCAUGCUACGUGCUCUGAAGUUCAGUCUUUUAAGCAGCAGGUAGUUACUUCCUGUAAGCAGAGUUGAGUUUGUUGUUUAAGCUGUGUAAUUUCUGUCAGUGACAGAAUUACUUAUUCUUUUACUUCC
rnacentral:lncRNA from 1 species